CAGGAAGAGCAUAAAGAUUGAGAUAUUUCCUAUGAAUACAAAUGGGAAGCUUUUAGGUUUUCAUGUGUUAGCCUGAAGCUCACAGAAAUCCUGUCUCUUAAUUUGAGUGUGUAGCAGAUGGAAACCCUUCAGAUGUUCAUGUAGAGUCAAGAGAAUACCAGAAUGGCUCUGCAGAUGGCUUUCAAAUAGCCAUGGGGCUGGACUGCAUCUGGGAAACCAGAAAAACCUGGUGGAAACCAGGCCUCAGGUCAGAACCUGCACAAAGUUGUGACUUACUCCAGGGAGGAGAGCUAAAUGUUCCUCUUAUUCCUGAUGAAUGACUACUUGGUUCUGCAAACAAAUAUAAGGGCCACAAUGGUGCCCUGAAUGGCACCUCCACUCCAGCAGGAGAAGGGCUGGAGGCAAACAGCACUUCCCCAUCACAUCCCUCUCUCUUCCCAG